rnacentral:rRNA from 1 species
ACACGCAUGACACACUGCAUAUCAAUAAGCGGAGGAAAAGAAACUAACAAGGAUUCCCUUAGUAACGGCGAGUGAAGCGGGAAGAGCUCAAAUUUGAAAUCUUCAAGGUUCUACCUUGACGAAUUGUAGUUUAAAGAAGUGUUUUCUGUUGGAGUUUUGGUAAAAGUUCUUUGGAAUAGGACAUCAUAGAGGGUGAGAAUCCCGUAUUUGACCAUUAUUUCCAACUCUGUGAUACACUUUCAAAGAGUCGGAUUGUUUGGGAAUGCAGUCCAAAAUGGGUGGUAAAUUUCAUCUAAAGCUAAAUAUUGGCGAGAGACCGAUAGCGAACAAGUACCGUGAGGGAAAGAUGAAAAGAACUUUGAAAAGAGAGUUAAACAGUACGUGAAAUUGUCAAAAGGGAAGCGUUUGACACCAGUGUUGUUUUUCCGAAAAUCAAUUACGAAUGUUUUGUUUUUGAGGAGUUAUGACUUCAUCGGCUUGCUCCUUUCUUUACGAAACUUCUUAAUGCACUUUUCGGUUAACAAGUCAACAUCAAUUUCUUUUGUUGUAAAAGGGUAUGAGGAAGGUGGCUUUCUUUUCGGAGAAAGUGUUUAUAGCCUUGUACCUCUGCAAUCGGAGAGAUUGAGGUCUGCAGCGUAGAUCCUUCGGGGUUAGAUACAUUUGUGCUAAGUUAUAGCUUUUCAUAGACAACUUGUUGACUAUGUUAAGUCUUGUAGUUUACUCGCAGAUGCUAUUUUACCUACGCUUAGGAUGUUGAAGAUGUAGCACAUCAUACACGCAUGACACACUGCAUAUCAAUAAGCGGAGGAAAAGGCAUACCUACGCUUAGGAUGUUGAUAGUCACAGCGUGUAC